CCGCCCGUCACACCACGAAAGCUGAGUGCAACCGAAGUCGGUGAUUCAACCCGCAAGGGAGAUAGCCGCCGAAGUUGUGAUCGAGUGAUUGGGGUG
rnacentral:rRNA from 1 species